UGAUCCCUGUACCACGCUUCCUGCGGACACGAAAAGAAGAACCAACACUCAAGAGAAAGGGAGCUCAGCUCCAGGCGUGACGGGCAGGCCUCCACGACAGAGGAAGUCCAACACGUCAGGGUGGGCACCCACUGUAUCCUGUACAGGUUCUCUCUUCUUCUUUCCGUGGGGGUACAGGGAUCUU
rnacentral:other from 1 species